UUGGUGUGAAUUGCAGAAUCCCGUGAACCAUCGAGUCUUUGAACGCAAGUUGCGCCUAAAGCCAUUAGGCCGAGGGCACGUCUGCCUGGGCGUCACGC
rnacentral:rRNA from 1 species